CGGCGCGGAGUUGAGGCAGUGAAGGAAUUCAGCCCGCCUGCUGGCCCAGCGGCCCUGCCGCCGCUCUCCCUCCGCUCGCCCUCCGAGCCGCAGGGGCCGCCAGCGCUGCGCCCCGGCCCGGGACAGAGCGGCCGCGCUCGCACCGAGGAGACUCCAGAAGCCAGGCUGCUUUCGGGAACAUCUCUGUGGAUUCCCAGGUCCUGUGGUCAGAGCUGAAGGCCCCG